rnacentral:rRNA from 1 species
UGGGGAAUCUUGCACAAUGGAGGAAACUCUGAUGCAGCGACGCCGCGUGAGCGAUGAAGCCCUUCGGGGUGUAAAGCUCUUUCGACGGGAACGAUAAUGACGGUACCCGGAGAAGAAGCUGCGGCUAACUACGUGCCAGCAGCCGCGGUAAUACGUAGGCAGCAAGCGUUGUUCGGAAUUACUGGGCGUAAAGAGUGUGUAGGCGGUUCUCUAUGUUCGGUGUGAAAUCUCCCGGCUUAACUGGGAGGGUGCGCCGAAAACUGGAGGGCUUGAGUAUGGGAGAGGAAAGCGGAAUUCCUGGUGUAGCGGUGAAAUGCGUAGAUAUCAGGAGGAACACCUGCGGUGUAGACGGCUUUCUGGACCAUCACUGACGCUGAGACACGAAAGCGUGGGUAGCAAACAGGAUUAGAUACCCUGGUAGUCCACGCCCUAAACGAUGCAUACUUGGUGUGAGCCGUUCAUUCGGUUCGUGCCGGAGCUAACGCGUUAAGUAUGCUGCCUGGGGAGUACGGUCGCAAGGCUG